CUCAGAACCACUCACAACUUUGUCUCGCUGAACAGUUACAACACUUCACCUCAGUGAACAUGGAAAAACUCGCUGCUCUUUUGUUCUUCUCAGCUCUCGUAGGAAACAGCUUGGAGGAUGAUAUUACUGCCAGCAGAGCUGAAGUGUUUUCAUCAGAGGGUCGUACUGUUACUCUGUCCUGUAAAUAUUCAGUUAAAGCUGAAAACCUCCAGUGGUACCGACAGGAUCCUGGAUCAGGUCCUCAGUAUCUUCUCCUCAUCACUGACACAAAGGAGCCUGAUGUGGUGAAAGCAAAACCUCCACACCCUGGACUGACUGCUGAACUGAACGAGGAGAGGAAUCGAGUGGAUCUGCAGAUCUCCUCUGCUGCAGUGACAGACUCUGCUGUGUACUACUGUGCUCUGACGCCCACAGUGACAGGAAACAGCACAACUCUGUACAAAAACCUUUGGAGCAAAGACAACAGAAUACUCCACAACAUCCACUAGAGGGAGUCACACACU